GGUCUACUAGCUCAGUCGGUUAGAGCGUCGUACUAAUAUCGGCAUUCAAACACCAAUAUAUGGUAAUGCGAAGGUCACAGGUUCAAUCCCUGUGUGGACCA
rfam:Cordyceps militaris CM01 unplaced genomic scaffold CCM_S00006, whole genome shotgun sequence.